AUGAGUUCUGCAUACCAUUGGAAACUCAAGUCUUACCUGAAAGAUACAUAUACAAAUGUAUUUGAGGGGAUACCUGAAGCAGGAAAUUCAGUAGAUCUCAAUGAGAUCUACACAGCGCUCUACAUCACAGAGGGUGGAAGUGGAGAGGUCAUAACUGGACAUGAGGUGAGGCAUAUUGAGACAACAAUCAGGAGACCAGCAAGACCAGAGACAUCAAUCAAAUGCAAUGACAUCUUUAAACCCUUAACUGGACGAGGCAAACAUAUCAGAACUGUGCUGACAAAGGGAGUCGCUGGCAUUGGAAAAAGUGUAUCUGUGCAGAAGUUCAUUCUGGACUGGGCUAGAGGAAACGCAAACCAAGACAUUCAUUUCAUUUUUCCACUCCCUUUUCCAGAGCUGAAUUUGAUGAAAAAGGAAGAGCAUAGCUUUGUUGGCAUUGUAGAUAAUUUUUUUGUAGGUGUGAAAGAAUCAGGAAUUUUCAAGAACAACAAUUUCAAAUUUCUGUUUAUCUUUGAUAACAGGGAUGAGUGCCGACUGCCCCUAGACUUUGAAAAUAACAAGAGUUGCCGUGAUGUGACAAAGUCAACCUCAGUGGACGUGCUGUUGACAAACCUCAUCCACAGGAAGCUGCUUCCCUCUGCUCUCCUCUGGAUAACCUCCCGGUCUGCAGCAGCCAAUCAGAUCCCUCCUGAGUGUGUUGACCAGGUGACGGAGGUACGAGUGUUUAACGAUCCACAGAAGGAAGAGUACUUCAGGAAGAGAUUCAGUGAUGAGGACGUGGCCAGCAAAAUAAUCACUCACAUAAAGACAUCAAGGAGCCUCCACAUCAUGUGCCACAUACCGAUCUUCUGUUGGAUUUCUGCCACAGUUCUUGAAGACCUGUUGUCUGAAAAGAAGACAGGAGAGAUACCCAAGAACCUGACUGAGAUGUACUCACAAUUCUUUGUAUUUCAGUCCAAACAGAAGAAUAGGAAGUAUCAUGGACAAGCUAAGACAGUGUCACACUGGGAUAAAAAGAUGAUAAUGAAAAUAUGUAAGCUGGCUUUUCAACAGCUUCAAAAUGGCAACCUGAUCUUCUACAAGUCAGACCUGGAAGAGUGUGGCAUUGAUGUCACUGAAGCCUCAGUGUACUCAGGAGUGUGCACACAGAUCUUUAGACAGGAGACUAGGAUUUCCAAGGAGAAGGUGUACUGCUUUGUGCAUCUCAGCAUACAGGAGUUUCUGGCUCCUGUAUAUGUCUUUCUCUCAUUCAACAACAGAAAUCGAAAUCUAUUAUCUAAGACACUGUCAACCCCCCAAAUGCCUCUCACGCAGUUCAGGACAAUAUCGACAAAUGAAUUCCACAAGCGUGCAGUGGACAAGGCCUUACAGAGUAAGAAUGGACACCUGGACUUGUUCCUUCGUUUCCUUCUGGGUCUCUCACUGGAGUCCAAUCAGAUUCUCUUACGAGGCUUACUGAACGAGAGAACAAGAAGUUCAGAGGACAAUGAGGAAACAGUCAAGUACAUCAAGGAGAAGAUCAGGGAGAAUCCCUCUCCAGAGAGGUGCAUCAAUCUGUUCCACUGUCUGAAUGAACUGAAUGACCAUUCUCUAGUGGAGGAGAUCCAAAGCUACCUGAGCUCAGGAAGUCUCUCAGAAGCCAAACUGUCACCUGCACAGUGGUCAGCUCUGGUCUUUGUGUUGCUGACUUCAGAAAAGGAGCUGGAUGUGUUUGACCUGAAGAAAUACUCCAGAUCAGAGGAAGGUUUUCUGAGGCUGCUGCCAGUGGUCAAAGCCUCCCAAACCGCUCUGCUUAAUGAGUGUAACCUCACUGUGAAAUGCUGUGAAGCCUUGGCCUCAGCUCUGUACACAACACCUGAGAGAGCUGGACCUAAGUGACAAUGACCUGAAGGAUUCAGGAGUGAAGCUGCUCUCUGCUGGACUGGAGAAUCCACAGUGUAAACUGGACUCUGUCAGGCUGUCCGGCUGUCUGCUCACAGAGGAAGGCUGGGCUUUUCUGGUCUCAGCAAUGAGGUUAAACCCCUCACACCUGAGAGAGCUGGACCUGAGUAACAAUGACCUGAAGGAUUCAGGAGUGAAGCUGCUCUCUGCUGGACUGGAGAAUCCCCACUGUAAACUGGAGACUCUGAGGCUGUCAGGCUGUCUGGUCACAGAGGAAGGCUGUGCUUCUCUGGUAUCAGCUCUGAGGUCAAACCCCUCAUACCUGAGAGAGCUGGACCUGAGCUACAAUCACCCAGGAGACUCAGGAGUCAGACUGCUCUCUGCUGGACUGGAGGAUCCACACUGGAGACUGGAGAAACUUGACAUUGAAAAUGGUGAAAAGUGCAGAAUCAUACCAGGGCUAAAGAAAUAUGCCUGUGAUGUCACACUGGACCCAAACACAGCAUACAGACUCCUCUCUCUGUCUGAGGAGAACAGGAAGGUGACAUGGAGGUUAGAGAACCAGCUGUAUCCUGAUCACCCAGAGAGAUUUAACUACUGGGACCAGGUGCUGUGUAGAGAGGGUCUGACUGGGCGCUGUUACUGGGAGGUAGAGUGGAGUGGGAGGGCUCAUAUAGGAGUGACAUAUAAAGGAAUCAGCAGGAGAGGAGACAGUAAUGACUGUGUGCUGGGAGCCAAUAACAAGUCCUGGAGUCUAUGGAGUUCCAACGAUAGUCACACUGCCUGGCACAAUAACAAGGAAACGGAUAUACCUGUCCCAUCAGCCCACUCCAACAGACUGGCCAGCUGGCACUCUGUCCUUCUAUAGAGUCUCCACUGACACACUGACCCACCUCCACACAUUCACUGAGCCCUUCUAUCCAGGGUUUUGGGUUUGGUAUGAAUCCUCAGUGUCCCUGUGUCAGGUAAAACAGAACAGAACCAUAUGAUAAGGAACACAAACUCCAGAGGAAUUCAUUAAAAUGGGAUUCUGGUUUUAUUUUAGGAUACAUAAAGAGGAUUCUUCAUAGACAACAAUAAUUAGAGAUCUGCAAUAACCUCUAACCUCACAGAACAAUGUAAACAAACAUAGCAAUGCUUCUACUAUUGUUAAGGGUUACCAGGAAAUCAGCUCUCUAUACAAUACUGAUUGUUAAGGGUUACCAGGAAAUCAGCUCUCUAUACAAUACUGAUUGUUAAGGGUUACCAGGAAAUCA